UGAGAGGGUUUAAUCAAAUGAUUGAGCCGGUUUGACCUAUUUAUCAAGCGAGCAAGUUCCCUCUUGAUUCAGUUCGACACGGCCAAUCAUAAUGUCUAGGAUCCAUAAGUAAUUGCCAUUUUAUUGUAUUAGUAGGUCUUAAUUUUAACUGGCAAUGUCGUAGAGAGCUCUCUUUUGAGAAAGAGAAGCAGAGAAGGGGAAAAAGGG
rnacentral:lncRNA from 1 species